rnacentral:lncRNA from 1 species
CCAGUGGGAGAACUCCUCGAAAGGGCUUGGAGGACCGAAGGCUCGACGUCGUAAGGGACGUCGACGGCGAGGGCCGCCCGGGCAACUCCUACGUCCGUGCCUGCAACAAGAGAAAAGAAAGAAGGAAAUCUCGAAAGAUCGGGAAAGAUUGCGAAUAAACCCUCGGAAGCUGAACAAACAAAGCAAGAAGAGGAAGGAACAAUAGC